UACGUAGGGGGCUAGCGUUGUCCGGAAUCAUUGGGCGUAAAGCGCGUGUAGGCGGUUCGGUAAGUCCGCUGUGAAAGUCGGGGGCUCAACCCUCGAAUGCCGGUGGAUACUGUCGGACUAGAGUACGGAAGAGGCGAGUGGAAUUCCUGGUGUAGCGGUGAAAUGCGCAGAUAUCAGGAGGAACACCAAUUGCGAAGGCAGCUCGCUGGGACGUUACUGACGCUGAGACGCGAAAGCGUGGGAGCAAACAGG
rnacentral:rRNA from 1 species